CCCUGCCUUUGUCUGUCCUCCAUGCUUUCCUCUGCAUUUCCCUCCCUACAGCAAACCCCAUUUCCUCUCCCGUGAGCUUCACUCCCACCUCCCUGAAAUGCAGAGGGCUUCUGGAAGACAGAUGAUUUGCACCUUUGUCUCAGCACCUGCGGAGGUGCCAGCUGCACGUGGAUCACAGAGCUGAUUUGUUUCCUGCCCAGCUCCAAGAAACACCCAUUGGUACAGCAACCACACUGACCAUGAAUGGAAAGCUGUUCGUGAACAGACCCCAACUCCUGCUGACUUGUAACUAUUCCCUGGACGUCGGCGUGAACAAUUCUCAGAUUCUGGAUUGCUUGGGAACUGUUCAGCUGGACUUUUCCCUUUUUGUUCUUCACGGUGUGUGACUGGUCACUUAAGUCACAUGGUAUCGGGUCUCUUGUGGGAUUGCAUGGCAAACUUGUGAGAGGAAGGACUGUCCCAGUGGGCACUA